CGUAGGGUGCGAGCGUUGUCCGGAAUUAUUGGGCGUAAAGAGCUCGUAGGCGGUCUGUCGCGUCGAUCGUGAAAACUUGGGGCUUAACCCUGAGCUUGCGGUCGAUACGGGCAUGACUGGAGUUCGGCAGGGGAGACUGGAAUUCCUGGUGUAGCGGUGAAAUGCGCAGAUAUCAGGAGGAACACCGGCGGCGAAGGCGGGUCUCUGGGCCGAUACUGACGCUGAGGAGCGAAAGCGUGGGGAGCAAACAGGAUUAGAUACCCUGGUAGUCCACGCCGUAAACGGUGGGCGCUAGGUGUGGGGGCCAUUCCACGGUCUCUGUGCCGUAGCUAACGCAUUAAGCGCCCCGCCUGGGGAGUACGGCCGCAAGGCUA
rnacentral:rRNA from 1 species